AUUGAACGCUGGCGGCAGGCCUAACACAUGCAAGUCAAGCGGAUGAAGGGAGCUUGCUCCUGGAUUCAGCGGCGGACGGGUGAGUAAUGCCUAGGAAUCUGCCUGGUAGUGGGGGAUAACGUCCGUAAACGGGCGCUAAUACCGCAUACGUCCUGAGUGAGAAAGUGGGGGAUCUUCGGACCUCACGCUAUCAGAUGAGCCUAGGUCGGAUUAGCUAGUUGGUGGGGUAAAGGCCUACCAAGGCGACGAUCCGUAACUGGUCUGAGAGGAUGAUCAGUCACACUGGAACUGAGACACGGUCCAGACUCCUACGGGAGGCAGCAGUGGGGAAUAUUGGACAAUGGGCGAAAGCCUGAUACAGCAAUGCCGCGUGUGUGAAGAAGGUCUUCGGAUUGUAAAGCACUUUAAGUUGGGAGGAAGGGCAGUAAGUUAAUACCUUGCUGUUUUGACGUUACCAACAGAAUAAGCACCGGCUAACUUCGUG
rnacentral:rRNA from 1 species